GCCCUAUCAGCUCUCCACGGCGGGGUAAGUUCCCGCCGUGGCUACCACGGGUACGGGGAAUUAGGGUUCAGUUCCGGAGAGGGAGCACGAGAAACGGCUACCACUUCUAAGGAAGGCAGCAGGCGCGCAAAUUACCCAAUCUCCUUCCAAGCACGGGGGAGGUAGUGACAAGAAAUAAUGUCCGGCGGUACCCUCUACGGGGCCGCGCGGUUCUGAAAUGAGUCGGUUUCAAACCUACCGUUCGAGUAUCGAUUGGAGGGCAAGUCUGGU
rnacentral:rRNA from 1 species